rnacentral:rRNA from 1 species
UCGGAUUGUAGUCUGCAACUCGACUACAUGAAGCUGGAAUCGCUAGUAAUCGCGAAUCAGAAUGUCGCGGUGAAUACGUUCCCGGGUCUUGUACACACCGCCCGUCACACCAUGGGAGUUGGGAAUGCCCGAAGCCUGUGAGCUAACUUUUAAGAGGCAGCAGUCGAAGGUAGAAUCAAUGAUUGGGGUGAAGUCGUAACAAGGUAUC